GCUGGGCACAGUGACUCAUGCCUGUAAUCCCAGCAGCUCAGGAGGCUGAAGCAGGAGGAUUGUGAGUUCAAAGCCAGCUUCAG
rnacentral:sRNA from 1 species